GGGAGGGAAGGGGUGACUAGUGACAGAGUGAGGGAGAUGGUGAUUAGUGACAGAGGGAGGGAUGGGGUGACUAGUGACAGUCACCACCUCCUUCACUCUGUCACUGUGUCACCCCCUCCCUCACUUUGUCACUGUGUCACCCCCUUCCUCACUCUGUCACUAGUCACCCCCUCUCUCACUCUGUCACCAGUCACUCCCUCCCUCUGUCACUAGUCACUCCCUCUCUCACUCUGUCACUAGUCACCCCCUUCCUCACUC